rnacentral:rRNA from 1 species
AACGAACGCUGGCGGCGUGGAUUAGGCAUGCAAGUCGAACGUGAAAGGUUCCUUCGGGGACUGAGUAAAGUGGCAAACGGGUGAGUAACGCGUGGGAAACCUGCCCAUCGGUUGGGGAUAACACUCUCAACAGGGUGCUAAUACCCGAAUAGUAUCUCCGGGUCGCAUGUCCUGGAGAUGAAAGGCGGCCUCUGCUUGCAAGCUGUCACCGAUGGAUGGUCCCGCGUCCCAUUAGCUUGUUGGUAGGGUAAAGGCCUACCAAGGCAGUGAUGGGUAGCCGGCCUUAGCGGGUGUCCGGCCACACUGGGACUGAGAUACGGCCCAGACUCCUACGGGAGGCAGCAGUCGAGAGGCUUCCACAAUGGGGGAAACCCUGAUGGAGCGACGCCGCGUGGGUGAUGAAGGUCUUCGGAUCGUAAAGCCCUUUCAGCAGGGAAGAGAGUGUUGGGUGAUAAUACCACCUGGUGCACGACGGUACCUGCAGAAGAAGCUCCGGCUAACUCCGUGCC